UACAUAUAUAGAGUUACAAGCUGCCAAAGAGCAUUCCAUGGUUCACUGUUUCGUAUCAAGGCAUGUGCUAAAAUUAGUGAGCUGGUAGCCCAAUCUGGCUGGUGCAGUGUACUUACAUGCAGACUAAUUCAGGGGACUUCCUUGAUGUCAGAAGAGGAGGUGGAGGCAGGCACCGGAGGCGGAGGCGAUGGGGAGGCGGCGGAGGAGGUGGGGAAGAGGGUGGAGUCAACUGCGGCGAUGGGAAGGCGUUGGGCGGAGGAGCCGAUAGCGGAAGCCGGCAUGCAGGUCGAGUCGGAGGUGGGGAGGAGGGGAGGGUUUGAGUGGAGUCGGAGUUAG
rnacentral:lncRNA from 1 species